ensembl:snoRNA small nucleolar RNA SNORA2/SNORA34 family
AUGGAUAAAAUUCAUGUAGCCAUCUCACCUAGCACUGUUGGUUUCAAGCAGGAGCCUAAAGAGAUGUCUUUCUAUGAUCUGUUGGCUAUUCCAGAACUUUGGCAGUGAAAUGGUCAAUUCACUAGAAAGAAACAGCU